rnacentral:misc_RNA from 1 species
AAGUCGUAACAAGGUUUCCGUAGGUGAACCUGCGGAAGGAUCAUUAACACGUAUCCAACGUUAAACAACCCUGUGAACUUUCAACGCUCUUGUAACCAGGCGGAACAGCAAUCCCGGUAAAUCAGUGGGCGGAAAGUUUUGAUUCGGGACCUCUGUCCAAAAGUUACAAUCGAGCUAGGAGCAGUGGCAUCGUGAUGCGUUAUCCUUACUCAGUGGAUCCUUCUGCACUGCUUAGGGAAACCGUUGCCAGAGGUCGAUCACCGGCCGGCAGACAUGUCACAGGGCUAUAUGCCCCUUCAUUCACACCUUGCUCUCUCAUGCCCGCCGGAAACGCCGGGCACAAAAACCGAACAACUGUUAACAAUGGAUAUCUUGGUUCUC